ACUACACAGAGGAACUCAUGGUACAGGAAUCCCACCCAAGUUGCUGAAACGUAAGAGGGAAAGUGAGACAGGACUGCUGAUCCCCGAGAUUCGCUGAGGGCAGAGGUCACGUCUUAGGCUCUCAUCUCCCCACACGGCAAGGCAAAAAGCAAGCACGGUUCUGGCAAAACCUUCCUCAAGCCUCUAAAUGAAGCCCCAGAACCGCGGCCUCUAGGAAGACAUAGCGACCCACCGUCCCCACCGUCCUUCAGAUGUCGCCCUCCGCUGUGCGUGUCAGCGCUCUCUCCAUGCACACUCCGCGGGGAUCAUGUACACACUACGCUGCAACCACAGGCCCUCCUGCCUCCCUCCCCAGACACAGCAUCCAGGGAGGGAGCGGUUUGAUCCGUCCCCAAGUCCAGGGCACCCAGUAUGUCGUGAUGCUUCGUGAAUGUGGUGGAGUCAGUG